rnacentral:rRNA from 1 species
AUUGAACGCUGGCGGCAUGCUUUACACAUGCAAGUCGAACGGUAACAGGUUAAGCUGACGAGUGGCGAACGGGUGAGUAAUGCAUCGGAACGUGCCCGAUCGUGGGGGAUAACGCAGCGAAAGCUGCGCUAAUACCGCAUACGAUCUGAGGAUGAAAGCGGGGGACCGUAAGGCCUCGCGCGAUUGGAGCGGCCGAUGUCAGAGUAGGUAGUUGGUGGGGUAAAGGCCCACCAAGCCAACGAUCUGUAGCUGGUCUGAGAGGACGACCAGCCACACUGGGACUGAGACACGGCCCAGACUCCUACGGGAGGCAGCAGUGGGGAAUUUUGGACAAUGGGCGCAAGCCUGAUCCAGCAAUGCCGCGUGCAGGAAGAAGGCCUUCGGGUUGUAAACUGCUUUUGUACGGAACGAAACGGUCUGGGUUAAUACCUCGGGCUAAUGACGGUACCGUAAGAAUAAGCACCGGCUAACUACGUGCCAGCAGCCGCGGUAAGAC